GGGCCGUUAGCUCAGUUGGUAGAGCACCGGACUUUUAAUCCGGGUGUCGUUGGUUCGAUCCCAACACGGCUCA
rnacentral:tRNA from 1 species